GCCGUAGGGCGCGAGCGUUGUCCGGAUUUAUUGGGCGUAAAGAGCUCGUAGGCGGCUUGUCGCGUCGUCCGUGAAAACUUGGGGCUCAACCCCAAGCUUGCGGUCGAUACGGGCAGGCUAGAGUUCGGUAGGGGAGACUGGAAUUCCUGGUGUAGCGGUGAAAUGCGCAGAUAUCAGGAGGAACACCGGUGGCGAAGGCGGGUUGCUGGGCUGACACUGACGCUGAAGCGCGAAAGCUAGGGGAGCGAACGGG
rnacentral:rRNA from 1 species